AAAUUAAUUCAUUAAAAUAAUUAUAUCUUCCACCCAAACCCUAUACUUAUUCUUAUCAGAAAACCCUAAUCAAUAUAUUGAAACCCUAUUCUCUCAAUUAUGGCAUCCACCCAAACUGACGAAAAUCAAAGUCAAAAUUAAGAAUCAAACGUAAGUAUGAUCUAUCCUUUCAUCCAUUCAUUAGCUAGUGUAAUUCUCGGAAUAUUUCAUGGCAUCGUUUUUUUUUUUUUGGUUUUUUUUGUGUUUUUUGAUUGAAUACAUGUUUUGAUUUGUUUUCUCGAUUAGAAAAUCAUUUGGUCAGACGAGACCACAUUUGCGUUACUUCAAAGACUUUGAUUUCUAAGUGAUGUUCAAAAAGAAAAUAUUCUUAAGAAUAUUAACGUUUGGAAAAAUUUUGAGUUGGAGAUGUGUUAAAAAUCGUUUGGAUAUCUUGAAGAAACUUUAUCAUAUGUAUAGAGGCAAUCUAGAAAACCCGUGAGGUCAACGUUAUUUACAGUUUAUCACACUACUUGAUGCAAUUUUUGGUGAUUUACCAAAUGCAUAAAGUAUUAAGUUUUUUCUUACAAAAUCUAUUUAUUUUUGAAUUUUCAGUUUUAUUUAUGGUUUUAAUUAUUAAGCAUGUUUAAUUUUUCAAAUAUUAUCAAUUUAUCAUAAUAAUAUAUUGUAUUUU
rnacentral:sRNA from 1 species